CCUACGGGAGGCAGCAGUGGGGGAUAUUGCACAAUGGAGGAAACUCUGAUGCAGCGACGCCGCGUGAGGGAAGACGGUCUUCGGAUUGUAAACCUCUGUCUUCGGGGAAGAAAAUGACGGUUCCCAAAGAGUAAGCUCCGGCUAACUACGUGCCAGCAGCCGCGGUAAUACGUAGGGAGCGAGCGUUAUCCGGAAUUACUGGGUGUAAAGUGAGCGUAGGCGGGUGAGAAAGUUGCAUGUUAAAUCUACCGGCUAAACUGGUAGCUGCGUUCAAAACUAGUUGUCUAGAGUGAGGUAGAGGCAAGCGGAAUUCCAAGUGAAGCGGUGAAAUGCGUAGAUAUAAGGAGGAACACCAGAGGCGAAGGCGGCCUGCUGGGCUUUAACUGACGCUGAGGCUCGAAAGCGUGGGGAGCAAACAGGAUUAGAUACCCCAGUAGUC
rnacentral:rRNA from 1 species